rnacentral:tRNA from 1 species
CCGUCGUCUAGCCCGGCCAAGGAUCCCGGCCUUUCGAGCCGGUGACGCGGGUUCAAAUCCCGCAUUGAA